UACGUAGGAUGCAAGCGUUGUCCGGAUUUACUGGGCGUAAAGCGCGCGCAGGCGGCACUCUAAGUACGUCGUGAAAUAUCCCGGCUCAACCGGGAGGGUGCGAUGUAGACUAGGGAGCUAGAGGUCGGUAGAGGGGGGGUGGAAUUGCUGGUGUAGCGGUGAAAUGCGUAGAUAUCUGGAGGAACACCGGUGGCGAAGGCGGCAUCCUGGACCAAUACUGACGCUGAGGAGCGAAAGCCAGGGGAGCAAACGGG
rnacentral:rRNA from 1 species